AGUGGCGGACGGGUGAGUAACGCGUGGGUAACCUGCCUCAUACAGGGGGGAUAACAGUUAGAAAUGACUGCUAAUACCGCAUAAGACCACGGAGCCGCAUGGCUCAGUGGGAAAAACUCCGGUGGUAUGAGAUGGACCCGCGUCUGAUUAGGUAGUUGGUGGGGUAACGGCCUACCAAGCCAACGAUCAGUAGCCGACCUGAGAGGGUGACCGGCCACAUUGGGACUGAGACACGGCCCAAACUCCUACGGGAGGCAGCAGUGGGGAAUAUUGCACAAUGGGGGAAACCCUGAUGCAGCGACGCCGCGUGAGCGAAGAAGUAUUUCGGUAUGUAAAGCUCUAUCAGCAGGGAAGAAAAUGACGGUACCUGACUAAGAAGCACCGGCUAAAUACGUGCCAGCAGCCGCGGUAAUACGUAUGGUGCAAGCGUUAUCCGGAUUUACUGGGUGUAAAGGGAGCGUAGACGGCUGUGUAAGUCUGAAGUGAAAGCCCGGGGCUCAACCCCGGGACUGCUUUGGAAACUAUGCAGCUAGAGUGUCGGAGAGGUAAGUGGAAUUCCCAGUGUAGCGGUGAAAUGCGUAGAUAUUGGGAGGAACACCAGUGG
rnacentral:rRNA from 1 species